UUAGAUUAAAUAUGUUAAAAUAUAGUUUCAAGAGUCUUUUUAUUACUACAGAAGUCUAUAAUAGAAACACCACAUCUUUCAGGCAAAGAUCGUAGGAGGAUCGCAACGUAGGAGGAUCGAAAGCGGUGUGUGUAUAUAUAUAUAUAUAUAUAUAAAAAACAAGGCUAUUGUUGAAAUACUUUCUAAGACAGUUGUUAAGCUGUUUUCAAUUAUGUAGCAGCAAAUCUUUCUAGAAUCUAUAACCAGAAGACCUCGAGGUAUUACUUGUCCUGCCUACCACAGGCACACACACCUCAAGGGUGUCUGGAGAUGAGUAAUUUCAAACAAAUGCAGACGUAAAUAUUUCAAAAAACUCAUUAGGCUCAUCUGGCAUGAUUUUAACCCAGGAUGGAUGUUAGUGCUAGAACCAUUGAUGCAACAGUUUGUUAUAACCACUUUAAUGCCAAACACUGCCUGCCAUUUCUUAGGCAACCAUCUCACAAUGACCACCAUUCAAAGCAGCACUGAUGUAUGCCAUAAUAGGAGCCAGGCCAAGGAUUUUCUAUUGUGUCUGCCUGUGUAUGUUGUGUUUGUUUAUCUGGGUAGCAGGCUGAAAUAGACCCAGAGCACACAGAUGAUGGAUAGUGAGUGGAUGAGUUUGUCUUUUUCUUUUCUGUAACUCACAAGGAAUUCACACCUGCGGAAUAGGACUUCUAUUAUUGCUUCAGCUUCUGUGGCUUCAGACCCAAAAUCCUGAAAUAACCCAAGCUGAGAAAAAGAAGAAGUGCGAAGAAGACUGACAGCAGAUCUAAAGUCUGUUGCCCUUCAGUUCUGUUGCAUUCAUCUCUCCAUUACCCCACAAAGACCUCUGGAGACUACCUUAAAACAUGAUGAUAACACUCAGAACUCUAUGCCUGUUUCUCCUGUUCCUGCUCCACAUGGCUAAGGCAGAUCAAAUUUCUUCAACCACAAUCACGGAUUCACUAAACUCUAAAGACCAAAAUGAUAGCCCACCAUCUACAAUGGAGCCGAACCUGACAGCCACUUACCAUCAAAAUCCAACCGAUACCAACAAUACCAGUGGUGGCAACUGCUUAAUUGACACCGAGAUAGGCCUAAUUGCUAUUGGUUCAGCAGGAGGGUUAAUUAUCUGCUUACUGAUUACAACAUCAGUGCUUGCAUGUCAGAUCUGUGUCCUUCAGCACCAGAUAUAUAUCCCCCGAUCCCGCCGUUCCAACACAGACAUAAUGAGUGCUGACUACUGGGGAACAGAUCAAACAGAGAUAGAGGGGUUGGUGGGCCCAUGUGAUACCACUGUUAUGCUUGAGGAAGUGACAACAGACAGUAGGACUCGGACUGAAAUACAAGGGGCAAUGGAAGAAGCUGGGAGAGGACUCGAGGAAGGGAAAACAACUUUGUGUGAUUCUGAAGAAAAGGUCUUUCAGAUCCAGAGCUCCAGUUCUAAGGAUUCCUAUGUGGAAGUUCCUAAGGAUUUAGAAGACAUGCCUCUUGUUGUAUGAAAUGGUAACCCACCUCUGUCACCCCUUUCCCAAAUAACCAAAUUAGUUGUGUUUUAUUUGUUAUUAUUUUGAUAACUAAAGUUCAUGUAAAAUCUAAACCUACUUGGGUAUUUCAUAGAAGUUGGAAAACAACAAGAACCUUUGAUUUAUUUCGCUUAAAAAAUAAAACAAACAAAGUUUAGUUUCAUUGUAGAACAAAAUUUGUAUAGUUUAAAUAAGGUCUAGCUCUGUCAAAACUGUUUUGCUACUGACUGAAAUGUACGUGGAAACAAAAAAGUAGGAGAAAAUGUUUAUAAAGACAACACAAUGACAUUUCAUCUGGAGGAUGAUACAGAUCUGGUUUGGUAAAAAAAUAAAUAAAAAUUAAUCAAAUAGAGAGAAAAAGGACAGGAGAAACAACAAAAAAUAUUUAUUGAAAAUAUCAAGAGAAUCAGAGUCAUAAAUUGUUUUGCUGACAGAAUAUUUUCACUUCAGUUAGAACAGAGUACCUCCUGUCCAAGCUAGAAAGCAUUAUUUAAAAAAAAACAACAACAACAAUGUGGGAAGUUUUAAUGAAAGAGUUCAUGAGAGAUAUUGGAACAAAAAUAUUUUCUUGUGUUCAUAACUCAAUAGCCUGCUUACAAAGUGGCCUUCAACUUUAUCUUAGAGCCAACAAGUGCUUUAGUAUUCUUUUCAUUCAUGCAUC